AUUAACUUGACUUGUCCUAUAUCAUGUACAAUGAUCUACAGUGACGAACUAAAUAAAUAAAUAAAUCAAUCAGUAGUAUCGCCUAUCGGUACAUACUACCCAAGAUGAGUUUUAUUUUUUUGAUAUUAGUAUACAGUUCUGGAAAAUACCCUCAUGGAAUCUCAUAUCAAGCAAACAGUUAUAGCAUUGCACAGAGAAGAAAAGGUGAUCAGUUGGUGUUUGAGGUAGCAUAUUUUUGCAGUGACUGUAGUUGAACAAUUGUAAAUAUACAGUGAAACAAGAAUACGUACAGACAUUAAUUUUCUAUCAGUAUAUACAUAUGAGUGUUUGCAGUGAGUUGAAAUAUUGAAAGAACUGCGUGUAAAUUUACUGUGUUUAAAUCUUUACAGGAAAAUGUUAUUUUGUACCACAGUUAAAAUUCAGCACUACUAAAGCACUAAAUAACACUAUUGAGUUUCUUUUUCCAGAUGUAAUUACAGUUGCUAAAUUACGGCAUUUGUGGCAGCUCUUCGUAAGUUAUGAAAGUCGCCAUUAAAAACAGUGUUUCAUUUGUGGUUUGUGAUGGUAGCAAAAUCUGUAAAAGUGAAUAUGACUCACUGUUUGGUGUGACAGGAAUGGAGAAGUUCUUCUUUAGACUGAAUAUAAAACUUUUGAAGUUUACAAGAUUUAUUUAUUUAUUUUGAUCUAUACAUGGCCACUUUCUACACUGCUUCCCUCUAGUGUUGAAAUGAAGUGAAGUAACGAGAUCAGCAUGCCAUUUUUCCACUUUGACUCUUGGAAGCAGCUAACCAAUUAUCAUAAAAUGUGCUGUGAACAUUCCGGUCUUUGAGGUCACUCAAACGCAGUACUUUUUAAGCUUUUUAACUUCCUGCAGUAAUUAAUAAUAACAGCAUGGCGGAUGCGGGAACUUCAGUGGUGGAAGAUAGAAGUGGAGUAGGGUAUUGGCAUUAGAGCAGUUAUACGCACUUGGGGCACUCAACCAUCAUGGAGAACUAACAAAACUGGGCUGUCGAAUGGCUGAAUUUCCCGUUGAUCCCAUGAUGGCAAAAAUGAUCCUUGCAUCAGAAAAGUAUAAGUGCUCAGAAGAGAUUCUGACUAUUGCUGCAGUGCUUUCUGUAAAUGGUGCCAUUUUCUACAGACCCAAGGACAAGACAGUCCAUGCUGAUGCUGCACGACAUAGCUUCUUUACACCAGGUGGUGAUCAUCUCAUGCUGCUGAAUGUUUACACGCAGUGGGCUGAAUCUGACUUCUCCACACAGUGGUGUUGUGAGAACUUCUUACAACAUCGCUCUCUGAAACGUGCACGUGACGUACGUGGUUAGCCAGCACGGAGAGGACUGAUGCAACAAGCCGAAUCAUCAUUUCCACAAACCAUUACAACAUAUAGUGAGGGUCUGGGACGCUGGGUUUCAUGGCUACUGGUGGAACUGCCACUGGAACUUGAUGAGUCUGAGGUCCCUGCUCUUGCGAUGUGCUGCCUCGGAACAUCAUCACGAAGGAGUUUCCAGGGGUAACGAUAUUCGAGAACACCCUUCCCGUUGUGGUUUUGGGUGCUCUUUGCGAUUUCCUCCUCUGCAGUUGCUCCUUCGCAUGUCUGCAGCCCCAAUAGUUGGCGGGAUGUGGCUUCUGUCCCUCCUUCAACUGGCAAUUGCAACAAGCUGGAGUGGAGGCAGCAUUCUCUUUCUCUGGGCAAUCCUUGUGCAGGUGGCCACCCCCGCACCACAUGCAAUGGGGAGGUUGCUUGCAAUUAGCCCAGACGUGGCCAAACUGUUGGCAGUUGUGACACUGCGUAAGGCCACUCUAUGCUCUAUACGCCUCAACCCGGAUGGAAAUGUGGCAAAGGCUUUGUAGUUCAAAAAUUUCUUGAGAUUUUGCCGUCCAGGUUAGGGUGAUAGGAAAGAGUGGAAGGUCUCUUGAUGAGAGGAAACACGUUACCGCUGUAAUCUAUAAGGAGCCUUCCCAUAAAAAUGGACUGUCUGAACAGCAGUAACGUCACCACGAGAAAUGGUGUCUGGUAUCCAGUCCGCAUAACCCCUAUAUAAGCAGAGUUUACGACACAGAGACAGUGACCCUGCGGGUCGUAGGAGGCAACGAAAAGGGAAGUCUCAAAUCUGAGAGAAUAAAAUAUGGUCGCGAGUCUCGAGGGACUCUUCUUAACCCUCUUAGUUUCCACAGUCCUGUUAUAUGCAUGUUGUGCCACAUUAAUUCUCAUUUCUGACACAGAUUUCAAUGUGUUUUGUCUUAUAUCCAUGUGUUUCAUUUCAUGGUAGGGAUCUGAUAAAACUUUGUCACAUAAUUUUUGUCUGUCUUUGCAGUACUCACUAAUAAUGAUAUCCAGAAAUGCAGUAUGAAAGCAGAAGACUGUCUCUUGUGUAACUUUUAUGGAGUUACAUGGGAGAAAGAUGAUAUUGUAUGUGUUGGGAGAGAGAUGAUGGAAGAAAGCAGUGAUGAAUUUCAGGAUUCUUAAAGUAACUCAUUUUCUAUCAAGUCUUAUGUCGAAACCCCCUAAUCAUAUUCUAAACAAAGACAGCCUCAUUUAUAUCAAUAUACCAUUAGUUCAUCCUUUGCAAUAUAAAAAUUCUAUCGCGUAUUUAUAUGGAACAGUUUUAUACUAGUUAAAAAUAAUAAUAAAAAUAAAUUCAAAUAUAUCUGAAGCAUUGUAAGGCAGGCACAAAUGCAUUGUUUUCAUCAACCAUUGGAAUUUAUAAGCACCUUAAAACUUUAGUUAUAGCUUUUGUCAGGAAUGAUUAGAAUAUGUAUUAAACAAUAUUAUAUAAGAUAUUCGUAACGAAACUCAGAUUAAAGAAUAAAUAAACCAAAAUGCGGAUGCUGUGUGUCUGCCUUAUAAAGCCUAGAUAAAUGUUAUAUUAUUGUUAGAAAUUCUAGCCCAGGCAGUUCUAAUUUCAUUUCAAAGUUCUUUGUUAUUGGAAUUCUUCAACAGUGUCACGUAAUAUCAAACUUAAGGCAUUGUCCCACAUCACGCAAUCACAGUCAUAUUACGUUUGUUACGCUUUAACCCACUCAGUUUGUAGUCCAUCUGAAUGAUAUUUCAAAUGCAAUUCCUGCUACACGGAAAUCACACUACGUCUCUGUUAUCAAGAGCAACCUGACUCAUACUGUUAUAUUUCAGCAUCCUGUUACACUGUACAGAUCUAAAUUAGGAGUUUUGUGCUGUCCAUGUUCAACAUCGUUCAUUAUUCCUUCUUCUUCCUUUCCUUUGUGGACAUUACACGUUUGGGCCUAAAUAGACAUCUUCAGUUGUACAUGUUGUUCUGCGGCUCACUGCAUUGGCCGGUUAGGCCAAAAUAUAUAGUGCCCAAUAAAGGAAUACGAAGAAGUAACAGUGAACGAGCAGCCUGCAGCAUUACUAUAUUUAAACUGUUUACUUUACUACACGUUCCAUUAAACAAUGUAACAAAUUGUUAAUUUUUCUUAUACUCUCACAUUGGACACAACAAGUUUCGGCCAUAAGGCCAUCUUCAGAUGUCUUUAACUAUGCUGAAACUGCUACACUGCACUAAUAUUGUUCAUUCGUCGCACAUUCCACUGCGCGCUUCAAGAUUUAAAUCGAUAUACCAGUAGUCAAUUGGUAUGCGCUAAAAUAGCACACCCUGUAGUUCACACUUAACGUGUAGAAUAAAAGCAGCCCGAUCGCUGCCAUGCGGCAAUGCAGUGAAACCUCCCUAAUCCGGUUACAUCUUAUUCGGAUCGAAAUACGGCAAAUGAAAAUGCUGUUCGCAGUUGAGUUAGGAAAGCUAAAGUUGCCCCUGUGUGUAAUUCAUUAAGAACUACGCCGUGGUUAAUUCUACGCAUUAAAAAAUCCUCGUGAAGCAGGAAUCACAAAUGCUGGCCUUGUCUUGUAAGGCGAGAGACAUGCAUAUGCUUGGCUAGCUGUAUAUGUUUAAACAUGACUGUAACAGUUGCAGUGAUGAGGUGGUCCCAACAAUGGCACUUUCUUACUCACUUUAAUGCUGAGUGUAAUAACGGCAUACUGGGCGUUCGUCCCCUAUUUGCCGCUUCUUUCGGGACACAUGAUUAUUCUGUUUAUGAAUCCAUUUACCGAUACAUGCGGCAGGAUAUGGUCUUCUUCAGUUCUAUUUUUAUAACUAUUCCGGCUUCCCAAAUCAUUAUAAGUGGGCCUGUAACAGCCCCAAACAUCAUAUAAUCCUAAUACCUCCUCCUCAUUAAUUUUGUGCUUGCAGCUAAAUCAGAGACCCAAGAACUAAACUGUCCGUACAUGUAAAUGCAUGUAAAUUUACUGUGUUUAAAUCUUUACAGGAAAAUAUUUUGUACCACAGUUAAAGUUCAGCACUAUUAAAGCACUAAAUAACA